rnacentral:rRNA from 1 species
GAGAGUCUUCGGGACUCGGCAGACUGCUCAGUAACACGUGGAUAACAUGCCCUUGGGUGGGAGAUAACCUCGGGAAACUGAGAAUAAUACCCCAUAGAUCUAGGAUGCUGGAACACUUCUAGGUCGAAAGCUUCGGCGCCCAAGGAUUGGUCUGCGGCCUAUCAGGUAGUAGUGGGUGUAACGGACCCACUAGCCCACGACGGGUAUGGGCCUUGGGAGAGGGAGCCCAGAGAUGGACUCUGAGACACGAGUCCAGGCCCUACGGGGCGCAGCAGUCGCGAAAACCUCUACAAUGCUGGAAACAGUGAUAGGGGAACUCCGAGUGGCGUCGGCUAAGCCGGCGUCUUUUGCCAAGUGUAAAUAGCUUGGAGAAUAAGGGUGUGGGCAAGACUGGUGGCAGCCGCCGCGGUAACACCAGCGCCUCGAGUGGUACCCACGAAUACUGGGCCUAGAGCGUUCGUAGCCGGCCAGAUAAGUCUUCUGUGAAAUAGUGUGGCUUAACCUCACUGCGCGCAGGAGAUACUGUUUGGCUUGGGAACGGGGAGGUCAGGAGUACACCCGGGGUAGGGGUAAAAUCCGUUGAGCCUGGGUGGACUACCAGUGGCGAAGGCGCCUGACCAAAACGUGUCCGACGGUGAGGAACGAAAGCUGGGGGAGCGAACGGGAUUAGAUACCCCGGUAGUCCCAGCUGUAAAUAAUGCGGACUGUGGUGUUGCUUCAGAGUUAAUCUGCAGCAGUGCUGUAGCGUAGGUGUUAAGUCCGCCGCCUGGGGAGUACGGCCGCAAGGUUGAAACUUAAAGGAAUUGGCGGGGGAGCACCACAAGGGGUGGAUGCUACGGUUUAAUUGGAUACAACGCCGUGAACUUCACCAAGGGCGACGGCAGAAUGAAGGCCAGACUAAAGAUCUUGCCUAACAAGCCGAGAGGUGUUGCAUGGCCAUCGUCAGCUCGUGGCGUGAGUUGUCUGGUUAAGUCCAGCAACGAGCGAGACCCAUACCAUUAAUUGCUACUUUUACCUUUAGUAAGAGGCACCUUAAUGGGACUGCCCGCGUUAAGUGGGAGGAAGGAGUGGGCGACGGUAGGUCAGUAUGGCCCGAAUCCCUUGGGCUACACGCGGCAUACAAUGGCUGGAACAAUGGGUUGCUACUCCGAAAGGAGGCGCUAAUCCCCUAAAUCCAGUCUUAGUUCGGAUUGAGGGUUGAACUCACCCUCAUGAAGCUGGAAUCCCUAG